AGGGCCGCUUUCUUAAUAAUUCAAAUAGAUAGUUCUGCUCACAUCAAGGGAAGCUCUUCAUUAACUGAGAAGCUCAUUGGCUCGCCUUUGACUCUAGCCUCUCAUUUAACUCGCUACUUCGUCAACUUCUCAGUCCCUCGUGAGUGUGGCACGCACCUCUACAUCUUUUCCUAUCUAUAGUCAGGGGACUGCUGCUCAUAACUACUAGCUAUCCAUCUAGCCCACGAUAGCAAAG
rnacentral:lncRNA from 1 species